rnacentral:rRNA from 1 species
AUUGAACGCUGGCGGCCGGCCUAACCCAUGCACGUCGAACGAGUGGCGGACGGGUGAGUCAUGUGUGGGAAACUGCCUGAUGGAGGGGGAUAACUACUGGAAAAGGUAGCUAAUACCGCAUACCAUCAGAUGUUGCCCUCGGGGAUUCGCUAUUUGGUGGGGUAACUGCUCACCAAGGCGACGCUCCCUAGCUGGUCUGAGAGGAUGACCAGCCACACGGGAACGGAGACACGGUCCAUACUCCGACGGGAGGCAGCAGUGGGGAAUAUUGCACAUUGGGCGCAAGACGGAUGCAGCCAUGCCGCGCGUAUGAAGAAGGCCUGCGGGUGGUAAAGGACUUUCAGCGGGGAGGCGUUACCCGCAGAAGAAGCACCUGCUAACUCCGUGCCAGCAGCCGCGGUAAUUC